rnacentral:rRNA from 1 species
UACAGAGGUCUCAAGCGUUGUUCGGAUUCAUUGGGCGUAAAGGGUGCGUAGGUGGCGCGGUAAGUCGGGUGUGAAAUUUCGGAGCUUAACUCCGAAACUGCAUUCGAUACUGCCGUGCUUGAGGACUGGAGAGGAGACUGGAAUUUACGGUGUAGCAGUGAAAUGCGUAGAGAUCGUAAGGAAGACCAGUGGCGAAGGCGGGUCUCUGGAGAGUUCCUGACGCUGAGGCACGAAGGCCAGGGGAGCAAACGGG